AUGGUCUCAGCCAUCGCUGCUUCUGCGGUUCCUUUUCUUGUUCUUGCUCGUGACCACCAGAUCGAGUUAGUCUUAGAGUUUCCUCUCAUUGUUUGUGAUUCUGCUGAAGGAGUUGAGAGAACCAAGGAAGCGCUCAAGCUUUUGAAGAACAUUGGAGCUUUCCCCGAUGCCAAGAAAGCGAAGAACAGCCACGGGAUCCGUCUAGAUAAUGGAAAGACAGAAGUUAAAUAA